GAUGAACGCUAGCGGCAGGCCUAAUACAUGCAAGUCGGACGGGAUUUGGGAGCUUGCUCCCAAUGAGAGUGGCGCACGGGUGCGUAACACGUAUGUAACCUACCUUAAUCAGGGGGAUAGCCUCUCGAAAGAGAGAUUAACACCGCAUAAUAUAUUUUUAUGGCAUCGUAGAAAUAUCAAAUAUUUAUAGGAUUAAGAUGGGCAUGCGGAACAUUAGCUAGUUGGUAAGGUAACGGCUUACCAAGGCUACGAUGUUUAGGGGAUCUGAGAGGAUGACCCCCCACGCUGGUACUGAGACACGGACCAGACUCCUACGGGAGGCAGCAGUAAGGAAUAUUGGUCAAUGGGCGCAAGCCUGACCCAGCCAUGCCGCGUGCAGGAAGACGGCCCUAUGGGUUGUAAACUGCUUUUGUACCGGAAUAAACCCUUUUACGUGUAAAAGGCUGAAUGUACGGUAAGAAUAAGGAUCGGCUAACUCCGUGCCAGCAGCCGCCGUAA
rnacentral:rRNA from 1 species